GAUAAGGGGCUGAGACAGAGGAGUUGAGUGACUAGCCCAAUGUCCCAGAGCAAAUAGGUGGUAGCCCCAGAAUUCCAGCAGCGGUCCUCCACAUCAGAGCCCCAGCUCUCUUCCUUUAUCCAGAUCCUGCCAGCCAAAAACUAUGUAGACAAAUAGCUGCAUCUGCUCCAUCUCAGGAUACAAAACAGCAAGUGUGAAAAGAUACAGAAAGAAGAGCAAUUCUGGCUGGGUCAUAUCACCUCUGGAGCCUUAACUAUGGAUCAAGUGAAUUUAAACAAUCUCUUAAAUAAAUCAUGGAGGUGCUACUUACUUUCUU